GUGGGGAAUAUUGGACAAUGGGGGGAACCCUGAUCCAGCCAUGCCGCGUGUGUGAAGAAGGCCUUUUGGUUGUAAAGCACUUUAAGCGAGGAGGAGGCUACUCUAGUUAAUACCUAGGGAUAGUGGACGUUACUCGCAGAAUAAGCACCGGCUAACUCUGUGCCAGCAGCCGCGGUAAUACAGAGGGUGCGAGCGUUAAUCGGAUUUACUGGGCGUAAAGCGUGCGUAGGCGGCGUUUUAAGUCGGAUGUGAAAUACCUGAGCUUAACUUAGGAAUUGCAUUCGAUACUGGGAAGCUAGAGUAUGGGAGAGGAUGGUAGAAUUCCAGGUGUAGCGGUGAAAUGCGUAGAGAUCUGGAGGAAUACCGAUGGCGAAGGCAGCCAUCUGGCCUAAUACUGACGCUGAGGUACGAAAGCGUGGGGAGCAAACAGGAUUAGAUACCCGAGUAGUCC
rnacentral:rRNA from 1 species